UUAAGUAUAGGUUAUGUUAAACCGUUUGACUGUUAAUCAAAAGAAGAUAGAUCUACUUAAA
rnacentral:tRNA from 1 species